rnacentral:tRNA from 1 species
GGGUCGGUAAGCAUAGUUGGCGAGUGCAAGAGGCUGUAAACCUCCCACAUAAGAAACACCGUUGGUUCGAUUCCAACUCGGCCCA